GGUUAUGUAUGAAAAAUUACACAUUUUAAAGCCAAAAUAUUCUAUCAGUGGGAAUGAAACAAAAUUUGAAAAUUGGUUUCGCUCUUUUGUAAUAGUGAUUUUCCUAUACGUAGACCAACCACUGUUUAUUUGUUGUAGGAUGCCUACCAGACAAAGCGGAGUAUGCAACAUGGCCGCGGUCAGAGGUUAUAGAGUGUUGGGCUAUAUUGAUAAUUACCCAGCGCGCCCGCACCAGGAACCGUCGAACGAAAAUGAAAAUCGAUUUUUUUCCUAAUGCAAUAUAUCUUGGCUAUUGUAUAAUUCGUAGAAUUUUAAAAUUUUGUAAACAAAUCUCGAAAACACUUGUCAGGUCAUGUUUUGUCUUAUAUCUUUAAAGCCUUAUGUUCCAUUGUUGCUGAACUUUUUACUGAAUACAGGGAAAUUUAAUAACUUUUUGUUAAAGUUCACGAGGAACAUACGAGAGAGAGACGCUUUUUUAGAGAGACUUUUCCAAAGAGACUGAUAUAUAAGAACAUCGAUAUACGCUUCUGAGCAGCAGGGUUGCACAGUGAUAGCUCGAUAGCUCAUUAUCGUGGCGGUCACUUUGAACAAAAAGCGGCUAUAGUGAGGGUCUAUGGCGUCCUCCCCUGGGAGAAAAAUGAAAAAUUAAUGAAAAUAAAGGACUGGUCACUG